GCUCAACCGAGGAAGUGCUUCGAAAACUGGUAAACUUGAGUGCAGAAGAGGAAAGUGGAACUCCAUGUGUAGCGGUGGAAUGCGUAGAUAUAUGGAAGAACACCAGUGGCGAAGGCGGCUUUCUGGUCUGUAACUGACGCUGAGAUUCGAAAGCAUGGGUAGCAAACAGGAUUAGAUACCCUGGUAGUCCAUGCCGUAAACGAUGAGUGCUAAGUGUUGGAGGGUUUCCGCCCUUCAGUGCUGCAGCUAACGCAUUAAGCACUCCGCCUGGGGAGUACGACCGCAAGGUUGAAACUCAAAGGAAUUGACGGGGGCCCGCACAAGCGGUGGAGCAUGUGGUUUAAUUCGAAGCAACGCGAAGAACCUUACCAGGUCCUGACAUACCAUGAAAAGCUUAGAGAUAAGUCUUUCCCUUCGGGGACAUGGAUACAGGUGGUGCAUGGUUGUCGUCAGCUCGUGUCGUGAGAUGUUGGGUUAAGUCCCGCAACGAGCGCAACCCUUAUUAUCAGUUGCCAGCAUUCAGUUGGGCACUCUGGUGAGACUGCCGGUGACAAACCGGAGGAAGGUGGGGACGACGUCAAAUCAUCAUGCCCCUUAUGACCUGGGCUACACACGUGCUACAAUGGUCGGUACAACG
rnacentral:rRNA from 1 species